rnacentral:rRNA from 1 species
CAGCCUUGCGACCGUACUCCCCAGGCGGAGUGCUUAAUGCGUUAGCUUCGGCACAGGGGGGGUUAAUACCCCCUACACCCAGCACUCAUCGUUUACAGCUAGGACUACCGGGGUAUCUAAUCCCGUUUGCUCCCCUAGCUUUCGCGCCUCAGCGUCAGUGUCGGUCCAGGAAGCCGCCUUCGCCACCGGUGUUCCUCCGGAUAUCUACGCAUUUCACCGCCACACCCGGAAUUCCGCUUCCCUCUCCCGAACUCAAGCCAAGCAGUCUCCCGUGCAAUUCCCUAGUUGAGCCAGGGGAUUUCACACGGGACUCACAAGGCCGCCUACGCGCCCUUUACGCCCAGUAAUUCCGAACAACGCUUGCCACCUCUGUAUUACCGCGGCUGCUGGCACAGAGUUAGCCGUGGCUUCCUCCACCGGUACAGUCGAUAGCCCGACGUAUUGGGUCAGGCUACUUUCGUCCCAGUCGACAGGAGUUUACGACCCGAAGGCCUUCAUCCUCCACGCGGCGUUGCUUCGUCAGGGUUUCCCCCAUUGCGAAAAAUUCCCCA